CUUUAUCCCCACUAAUGACAACGGAAAGAUCUAAGACUUCAUUGUUUACCACUGUCAUUCCAGAUGGUAUAGGUGUCCAUAGGAAUGGAUUAACUAAUUGUGGUGUUUGGGUGGCAAAGAGGAUGAUGGAAAUGGGCAAGAAUGGAUAUAGAAUUGAGGUUGACAACGACACCAGGUUGAGAGUUGCCCUGGACAUCACACUGCACCCAUACAACACCCACCUAAGUGCCAUUAUGUAGAAAUCAGGGAAAUAUAUGGACUUGUGCAAGGCUAAUUGAACUGGCUUUUUUUUGGGUAUAUGUGGUCUGCUAUGCAGACCAUUUUUUUUGUAAAUCUGGUACAAUUUUAUUUUUUUAUGAUGCAUAGGUCACUCAAAUUGAUGAAAUCAUAUGAAGAGCUCAUAUUUAAUUUUCAUGAGCAUGUCUAGCUCAUUCUUAAGUACAUGCGGGGUUCAUAUCAGAAAUCUCUAGAUUAUAGUCCCUUCCGAGUUUCGAGAGACGCUGCUUGGAACAAUGUCAGAAGGAAUGCUUGACUGCUCUCAUACAACCCAUACAGUUGCUGAUGUGAGGAGUGGUGGAAGUGGGUGUUUGACAUGGCAUGGGAAUUUAAUCGACAUGGAGAAACUAGUGAUCAAGGCCGAGCACUUGUCUUUGAUAGUGUUUUAGGAAAAUUGAGAUGAGUUCACUUGUCUAUGUUUAUGACCUUACAAUGCUCAAAUGUCAUCUAAUGUUACCGUAAUUUAUGUUUGAUCUGUUUAUAACAUGUCUUUGUUGGCUAAUUAUAUUGUCUAUAUUGUAUUGCCAGUUAUUGGAUUACUUAUUUCGAUGUUGUUACCACAGUAUAAUGUUUUUUGUAUUCUCUGAAGUUCUACUUGCAGGGGUUAGAAACGCCCGCAAAAAAAAAGAAAACCGCCGCAAAUUACCAGAUUUUUCUCCACAUAUACCGACAGAAGACAAGUCGUAAGAAUAUCUUGACGUAUGGUUUAUCAAUAAAGAUUUGUGGGCCACGCAACAUCUCCUUUUGUGCUGGUUUUGAACCGCCACAAAAUUGACUAAGUUGCUUUUCUGUCAAUUUCCAAUUUUGAGGCGGUAACUUUGGCGGUUCUCCACCGCCACAAUUGUGCUUUUCUUUUUUGUAGUUUGUAAAUCAUAAUUAAUUAUUUAGGAAGACUAAAACACACUAGUCUCAGGAUAAAAAAACAAAGAUGGUUAUACGUUUAUCAAGAUGAAUCAACUUUUUCUUAAAAAAAAAAAAAGAAUCAACUUAUAUAAAAAACAAAGACUCAUCAAGAUGAAGCCUAACACAAAUAUAGAUGGAAUUCAGUAAAUGUCAUGAUGAUGUGUGACUGGAAGACAUUUAAUAAACCCAAAAAAAGAUACCGAUUUCUGUAUUUCUGUUUGGAACUAUCAGGGUGAAUCUUAAUCCUAAAUAUACAUCAACCCAAUAAGUAACGCUUUUAAAGGGGUAGGAGGGGAUAAUAAGAGUUAAACAUCCUUUACUUUUUAGUUUUGAGACGUUUACGUUUUAGUCUCUUAAAAAUAGCUUUGCUAUGCUUUGGUGACGUUAGCCAAAUCAUCAUUUGGUGUGCAAGAUCCACAAGAACCCUAUCCACUGUCUUUCUGCUAGAGACCCUGAUAUGAAAAUUCUAUGCUAGAAGCAAAAGAACUUCUUCACAUAAAGUAUAUGUAAGAUCAAGUUUUGAUCUAGUAGUACAACUCUAUGUUUUGAUGAUUACAAAUUAACCUUUUGAUAUGAACAAUUGUGGUACUCUAACGUGUUUUUCUGAGUGUGCUAUUUACAGGCUCUGACCUCAACUCAAUCUCACACAAAUCAGAAGCACUGUGUAUAAAGAGCAACCCAAGCAACGCUUUCGCAUUCACCAUGUUCAGUGUGAACAGUGGAAAAGCUUCAGAAGUUCUGAAGUUAUACAAACUCUGAUGUGGACUCAGUCACUAGAAGCUCUGAAGAUCCAGAAAGUCUGAUAACCAAGAAACACUGAAGGCUCAGAUAUUCUGAUGGUGUAGAAGACUCUGAAGAUCCAAAAGCUAAUUAGUGAAAUUCUGUUGUCCAGAAGCAAGAUACUCUGAAGACCAUGUUCUUCCCUCUGAGUUCAGAAUCAGAAGAAACAAUGGCCAGAGGAUCUGGGCUUUCCCUCUGACUCUGAUCAACCGGCUUCACAAGUUCCAAUAUGAAGCAUCCCCUGAUCAGAAGUCUCCUAGGUUUAAAGGUCAAGUCGCUAUCCAAGUACAAAAGCAACUGUACCUUCCUGACGACCUACCUAACAGUCUCAGACACAGCAGAAGCUGGAUUUUCCAGAACUGCCCUCCAACGGUAGCAUUUCCCAUGCAACGCUCAACCCUAAUCCUUGGAGUAUAUAAAGAGGUUGAAGACUGAAAGAAACGGCUAGAAGCAUUCACAUACGCGCAAGACAAACUUAAAUUCUUCUAAGCUUUCUUUCAUCUGAAAUUCAUUGAGUUUACUAUUAGCUUUUUAGAAGCAAAUCUCUUGUAAACAAUUCUUUGAUAAACAGUUUGUUUAGUUCCUUUAGGAGAUCAAGGCUGAUCGGAUCCUAGAGAAGACUAAGAGAGUGAAUCUUAGUGUGAGCUAAGUCAGUGUAAUUGUUAGUCACUUGUAGGUUUCAAGUGCAGUUGUAACUCUUACCUGAUUAGUGGAUUGCCUUCAUUCUAAGAAGGAAGAAAUCACCUUAACGGGUGGACUGGAGUAGCUUGAGUGACUUAUCAAGUGAACCAGGAUAAAA